GGAUGAACGCUGGCGGUAUGCUUAACACAUGCAAGUCGAACGGUGCUUUAGGGCACAGUGGCGGACGGGUGAGUAACGCGUGAGAAUCUGGCUUUAGGUCUGGGACAACCACUGGAAACGGUGGCUAAUACCGGAUGUGCCGAAAGGUGAAAGGUUAACUGCCUGAAGAUGAGCUCGCGUCUGAUUAGCUAGUUGGUGUGGUAAGAGCGCACCAAGGCGACGAUCAGUAGCUGGUCUGAGAGGACGAUCAGCCACACUGGGACUGAGACACGGCCCAGACUCCUACGGGAGGCAGCAGUGGGGAAUUUUCCGCAAUGGGCGAAAGCCUGACGGAGCAAUACCGCGUGAGGGAGGAAGGCUCUUGGGUCGUAAACCUCUUUUCUCAGGGAAGAACACAAUGACGGUACCUGAGGAAUAAGCAUCGGCUAACUCCGUGCCAGCAGCCGCGGUAAUACGGAGGAUGCAAGCGUUAUCCGGAAUGAUUGGGCGUAAAGCGUCCGCAGGUGGCUGUGUAAGUCUGCUGUUAAAGAGUCUAGCUCAACUAGAUAAGAGCAGUGGAAACUACACGGCUAGAGUACGUUCGGGGCAGAGGGAAUUCCUGGUGUAGCGGUGAAAUGCGUAGAGAUCAGGAAGAACACCAGUGGCGAAGGCGCUCUGCUAGGCCGUAACUGACACUGAGGGACGAAAGCUAGGGGAGCGAAUGGGAUUAGAUACCCCAGUAGUCCUAGCCGUAAACGAUGGAUACUAGGCGUGGCUUGUAUCGACCCGAGCCGUGCCGUAGCUAACGCGUUAAGUAUCCCGCCUGGGGAGUACGCCGGCAACGGUGAAACUCAAAGGAAUUGACGGGGGCCCGCACAAGCGGUGGAGUAUGUGGUUUAAUUCGAUGCAACGCGAAGAACCUUACCAAGGCUUGACAUGUCGCGAAUCCUGGUGAAAGCCGGGAGUGCCUUCGGGAGCGCGAACACAGGUGGUGCAUGGCUGUCGUCAGCUCGUGUCGUGAGAUGUUGGGUUAAGUCCCGCAACGAGCGCAACCCUCGUUUUUAGUUGCCAGCAUUAAGUUGGGCACUCUAGAGAGACUGCCGGUGACAAACCGGAGGAAGGUGGGGAUGACGUCAAGUCAGCAUGCCCCUUACGCCUUGGGCUACACACGUACUACAAUGCUCCGGACAGAGGGCAGCAAGCAUGCGAAUGCAAGCAAAUCCCGUAAACCGGAGCUCAGUUCAGAUCGCAGGCUGCAACUCGCCUGCGUGAAGGAGGAAUCGCUAGUAAUUGCAGGUCAGCAUACUGCAGUGAAUUCGUUCCCGGGCCUUGUACACACCGCCCGUCACACCAUGGAAGCUGGUAGUGCCCGAAGUCAUUACUCCAACCUUUCGGGGAGGAGGAUGCCUAAGGCAGGACUGGUGACUGGGGUGAAGUCGUAACAAGGUAGCCGUACCGGAAGGUGUGGCUGGAUCACCUCCUUU
rnacentral:rRNA from 1 species